AGUAAAAGGUCAUAUUUUUGCUAAGUUUAGUUUUGUAUUAUAAACGACUAAAUAAGCGUGUUUACUUAGAGAGAUAAUUGUUUUUUUCUACAUCACUUGACCGCAUAUGCUGACACAUCAUUGGCAGACGCUCGCUGAUUGGCUGAUAGAGAUUUAAUCACCAAAUACGAUUUAAGUUUAAAAGAUAGAACAAAAGCGCCCUGCAUAUUACUAAAAAUGAAGCCAAAUACUAAUAACAGAAAUAGAAUUAUCUCGAACAGACUUGUCUAGACAACGGUAAGCAUAUAAACAAUUUGUCUGGUUCCCAGCGUACUCUGCACAACAAGAGUACCGAUAAUGAAAUGGUAAGGGCAGGUAACCCAGGCUAAUAAACGAUAUGCUUUAAACGUACAUGAAACGUUUUUCUUGAAAUGAGAUCAAUUCUAUUUUGACAUCUCAUGGUUUCCCAAUACACGUAAUUCGAAAUGUUUACAUUAAACUUCGUGACACAAUGGAUUUUAAUGCGUGUAGUUUAAAUGCAUAAAUACGCAAAUGAAGUAUUCCUCUUUCGGAAUUAAGAAAUAUAUUUCCAAUAAAAUUUGAAUUAGAAGGUAAAAACAAUUUAAAUGUACAACGAUACAUAAAAACUGACGUAAACCUGGGAGGAAACGUUCAACUACCCUAUAAUUACCCAAAUGGGGUCAUAUUAUCUGUUUAUGAAAAUAGCAAUGACUGGGAAACCAUCCGCAUUACAUGUACGUAGCGAUAAAUACAUAAAUAUUAAUUGGGUUUUACCGGUUUCUAAAGUGGUUUCCCAUUAAAAACGUUUAUAUAUAGGGUUAUUUGGUAAGUGCCAAGGGGAAUGUUAAGUAUUGUUUUCUCUCUCACAUACUAAACUAUCAUCAGGUAGAUUACAAUUUGAACAAAAAGUUAUACCGUUAUUGAAAUAAAUUAUUUGGAUAUAUUAUUUUCAGGGUAGUAUGUCCAGUAACUGUUUUGUACCAUGUCAAGAAAGCCAUUCAAUGUGUGCAGGUAUGCGUAUAUUGAUCUUUAUCAAGUAUCUGCACGCUAGCUAAUUAUUCUAGGGUGUGGAUACACUCAAACUUCAAAGUACCCUAUUGCUUGAACACCACUUGUCAUUUGGAACUCAUCGGCCAUUUUAUCGAAAACAACCUCGGACGUAUGCCGGUACAUCAGUUGAAGUAGUUCGUAUUUUUUUUAAUAGUAUCAUUAAUUAAAUGUUGUGUUUAAAAGUUGUAUUCAUUGAUCUCGGUUUAAAUUGAUUGUAAGUGAAGUGUUUUAUUGCACACAUAAUUAAGAUUCCCAAGAGUUAAGUCAUAAAGUUUAACUUAUAAAUAAAAUUACUACGCGAUCUAUUUGCAGCGGACUUAAACGUACCACUUUUUGAGUAUGUAAACCGUCCAAAUACAUCCGACGUUGUUUUCGAUAAAAUGGCCGAGGAGUUCUAAAUGACCUCUUGUGUAAUCAAAUCACACUAUUCAUUAAAGUGACACUCUUACUAAAAAUCAAUACAUACACAUGUAUAACAAAGAUCAAUUUUGACUGAUAAACCUUUAACAACUUACUAAAUAAUGCAUUUAUGGAAAAUAUUAACUACUGAUAGCAAGAUUGUAACCGUGUUUGUAGAAAGCGCAAAAAUAAUAAAUGAUUAGUGAAUGCUAAAAGAUUUACUGUGGUCUACUAUAAUAGUCUCAUAAGGUGGAAACACCAUGUUUUAUGCACCGUUUUUUUCAAAUUAAACUAGGUAUCCUUCAUAAGAACCAUUGUUCACGACAUUUAUUCAUCCUUCUUUUGAAUAUUUAAACAAUAGUAUUAAUUGUGGUAAAUCUCAUUUGGUAGUAAGAGUGCAUCUUUAAUAUUUAAUUCCCAUGUUUGUUUACAUUCACUAUUAUUUUCAUCACUAGUAGUAUAUGUAUAAUUGAUAUGCUUUCCUUUUCCUGUUUUUUUUCACAAGUUCUGUAUGCUCUAUGACCAGUGGUUAAUGUGUGAUAUGCAGGUUUGCCUCAACAAAAUAAAAGUUGUUAUCGUUAGGGAUGUUUUUAUUGCUGCUGUUGUUGUUGAACAAUAUGAUCUCUCACGCCCUGUUUCCUUAUAUAUAUGAAAAUUAAUGAAGUAACAAAAAAGUUUAUAUAUAUAUCCAUUGUUGUACAAAGUACAAUAUUUAAGAUAAGAUGGCAAAAACAAUUUCAAGAUAUUCUAAACAGAUUAUGGAUGAGAGAUUCGUAGUAUCAAACUAUAAGUCUUGAUAUAACUGACCAGUAGCCAGUUGUCAUUCAAGCAAUCCGUUGACCUCGCCAGUUGUCAUUCAAGCAACCAGUUGACCAAACGCAGGAUCACGGAUUGUUUUAAAUAAAUGAAAGCACAUGGUUACAUAAAAUAAUUUGAUAUACGAACUUGCACAAAAUGAUCUCGACAACAAUUGCUUCGGCGACUGACCAGUUGAGGCUAACAAUUGCUUCGGUGACUGAUCAAUUUAGGCUUGGCCCAUAUUCACUUACAUCUUACGUCUGACUUUGAAACCCAGGCUCAGAAAACUAAUUUUUUUAUUUGUUUUAAAAUUCUUAUGAUGUAACUUUCAAUUUUGACAAAAGACGUGUGUCUGAUAGAACAGAUUAUUUUUAAGAGACACAGCAUUUUUUCAUUUUCUCCUGUAAUUAACAAAAUUAAAACUCAGACUCCAGACAAUAGUCAAUAUGUGCCUUUUUAUAACAUAUGUAAGUCAGGCUCACUGGUGCCCAAAUAUUGGACAUAAAUUACUACAGUGAACCAAAAUAUCAGGCAUUAAUAACUACAAUGUGUCCUAACAUUUCUUCAUCACUUAAAACAUUCCCUUGGUUAAGACACUUUUAAAAUACAUAACCAACUAACUAGUUGCUUCUACUGGAAGCUUAUCUAAACAUUCAACGACAGUCUCCAUCGACGAUUCUUCAGUUUUUUUGUUCAUUUACUCCUUGUUGCAUGUCUAAACGUUUAACAUCAGUCUCAUCCGACGAUCCAUCUUUGAUUUCUUCAUUUACUCCUUGUUGCAUGCCUAAACGUUUAACAUCAGUCUCAUCCGACGAUCCUUCUGUGAUUUGCUCAUGAACUCCUGUUUCCGUUCCUUCGCCUUUUUUCUGCACACACAGACUGUUGUGAAUGUCACGGAAAGGCUUGUCAGUCCAUACGUCUUUUUCUGAAUAUAAAACAGUAAUUCCAAUUAUCUAUUAAACACAUGUCUUGCACAAGGGUGACUUCGUACAUGACUUCAAGUAAUAAAAAGUAUCGAGUCUGUUAUAUUUGAAUAAUCACUCUGUAUUCAAUGGAUUUUGGACAAUGAUAUCAUGUUUAACUUAUCUCUUUUAUGCUUUAAGUCAUCAAUUGAAGAAUCUCCGUCUACACUCAUGUCGAUUAACCUCUGGCCUUCUAAUAAAGGCUCAUAUUCAGAAGUUCCAUUCUCACAGUCAGGGUCUUCAUUGUCCGAAAAAUAGAUAAGUAGAUUGUUGAAUAAUCAUUUUAGAGUUUGAGCAUGGAUUAUGUGUUCCGCCUCUCAAACCAUAUUUUUGGUGGUCAAUCGGCAGGCGACAUUUGUUACUAUUAAUAGGAAUUUGAUAUUGUGAGUGUCGAGUUUGUAGCUUCACCUGUUCAAAAAUAGCGCAUAAUGGUUUUCCAGCUUAAUCAUACAUGUUAUACUUAUAGGGAUUUACGUGGAAGAAACCCGAGUAAAUUUCGAAUUGAAAACAUCCACAAAAACUGCCAAAGAUGCUGGGGUGUGAUGCAUCAGUAAGUAAUAUCCGAUGCCUUGUACACAACAAUGUUGAUUUUAUGUAAGUUUUUGCCAUUUUUUCUGCAAGUGUAUCAUUUGGUGUCUAGCCCCACAAGCGCGCACAAAUGUUGCUCACAUAGCGUCAUCUUUGUAAUUGUGCACCCUCACUUUUGAUUUGAACGUAUGGGCGAGCUAAAAAUUCAUAGCAGUGAACUAUAUCAAAUGUCCUUUGUUUUUCACUGAUAAAUCGUUAUAAACCAGUAAAUAAAAGUCAAUUUUCUUGGAGCAUACUAUAAACAUUCAUUAUGCUGAAGGGUUUACUUAAAAGACUGACACAAUAACCACACAAUUUAUUUCAACCAGACACAUAAAUAUAUCACAAACUGUGGAUAUUAACAUACAUUUACAAACAAUUUACAAUACGACUUUCAAUGUUCUAGUACUAGUACUUGAACUCGGACACCUUGCGUAAAAUGCCAAACACUAUUUGCUUAAUAACUAAUUCUUUGAGUGGAGUCCGUCUCAAUAAAUAAUGUUUAAUUUUUUCUUUAAUAUAUCCGACCAAAAAUAUGUGACCUCACAUUAUUUUGGUAUAAUUUGAAAGUGUUUUGUGCGCAGAAAAAAGGAAAUGUAUUUAUGUAUUAUUUUACCGAAAAUAAUUUAACAAACAAGUUGUUUUAGCCUUCCAAAAUUGCAAAAUGUGAAGUUGGGGUCCAAUCUUAGUUGAAAUAAAGAGCACAUAUACAAACUGUAAUAACUUUAUGUAUAAUGUAUGUUCGGUCAUUUAUUUAACAUAUAAGUAAUCAGUAAACAAACUACCUUUCAAAUGAUACCAUAAAUAUAUGGGGUCAUCAGGUCAUCAGGCAUCAACACAAUCGGUACUCCUCGGCCAUUUACCAUCGAAAACAACCUCGGAUGUAUAGUGACUGUUAAAAAUGGCAAAAGUCUUUACAUUUAACUACGCUGCAAGUAAAUCGCGUAGUAAUUUCAAUUUGGCAGAAGAACCCAAUGACUUUACUCAUGGAAAUCUAAAUAUUUAUGCAACAAUACACUUCACUGGCAAUCCAUUUGAAGUUAGUAAUACAAAGUACGUUUGAACACUGCAAUUAAUAAAUACUAUUAUUUACGAAAUACUUCUACUGCUUUACCGGCAUACAUCCGAGGUUGUUUUCGAUUGAAAAUGGCCGAGAUGCUCCCAAUGUAAUCAUCGAUUUACAUUUAGGUAAAUGAACCUUACAGAGAUUUUUUUUAUGCCAUAUUUCGUUAUUUUUCUAUGUAUUUGCAUGACUUGAUCUUAGACCAGUUUUAGAUAGGAAAAAAAACAGACGAGGGAAUGGAAAAUAAAAUGUUGCCAUAAAUUAAAUUGCUGCAUAUGCAAAAAACAAAUGUAUAAUGGUUAUAUGUACAUACACAUAUGAGUAAAAUCAAUAUCCACAAUCAGAUCGUGAAACCACAACCAAAACAACGAGAGCAUUAGUGAUGGUUUUGUAGAGAAACAAAAAACAAUCGUUGUAUUUAAAAGUUUGAAAAAACAUUAUGUUGCAUAUUGUCAAACAAACUCCACAAAGUGUUACUUCCCUUGCAUUACAGUAAUCACUGCCACGCAUAAAACUCCACGGAGUGUUACUUCCCUUACAGAACAGUAAUUAUAUCGCAAUUAAAAGACUUAAGUAUCUGCAAUUUUAAAUGUUUUUUUUUUGUAUUCGAACCUUAAUGUACCUAAAAUAAUAACAAUUCGAUAAAAAAAUAUCCAAAAAAAAGAGAAGAAAAUAACAACAACAAAAACAAAGAGAAGAAAAAACAUUUAAAAACAGUUUAUAUAACUGAAUUCCAGCUAUACUCGCGCUCUGACAAAUUCUGCUUGUCAGGCGGGGUGGGGGGGAGAUGCGUAUGAGAUUGAUUGUCAAAGUGUUACAAUAUGUUUAAGUAAAGUUCAAAAUUAUUCAACGCAUGUAAACAAAUCUCGAAAGUCGCUCGUACAUAUUAUACACAAUACCACAUGGACGAAUCAUUACAUUUUCAAAAAAGAAAGAGAUGUCAACCUAAAAGAUGCAUAGGAAAUACCUACUGAUGUUUAAGACAAAAAUCACUGAUUUAAAUGUAUGCAGCAAUAUCUAUUAAAAAAUGAACCUCGAGUAAAUGACAUAAACACACAUUUUAGUCCAUACAUGCAGAGCAAUUCGAAGUGUCACAUAAACUUUUUUGGGCAAAAACUAUUUUAUAAGAUAUUUUUAUCAGUUUUGUUUUUUGUAAAGCUUUUUGCUACAAAUGACAUUGCAUUUGCAUCCUUGACAUAAUAUUUUCUCCAUUUCUUCAUACCAAAUGACAUUGCAUUUGCAUGCUUGACAUAAUAUUUUCUCCAUUUCUUCAUACCAAAUGACAUUGCAUUUGCAUGCUUGACAUAAUAUUUUCUCCAUUUCUUCAUACCAAAUGA